GACGAACGCUGGCGGCGUGCCUAAUACAUGCAAGUUGAGCGCUGAAGGUUGGUACUUGUACCAACUGGAUGAGCAGCGAACGGGUGAGUAACGCGUGGGGAAUCUGCCUUUGAGCGGGGGACAACAUUUGGAAACGAAUGCUAAUACCGCAUAAAAACUUUAAACACAAGUUUUAAGUUUGAAAGAUGCAAUUGCAUCACUCAAAGAUGAUCCCGCGUUGUAUUAGCUAGUUGGUGAGGUAAAGGCUCACCAAGGCGAUGAUACAUAGCCGACCCGAGAGGGUGAUCGGCCACAUUGGGACUGAGACACGGCCCAAACUCCUACGGGAGGCAGCAGUAGGGAAUCUUCGGCAAUGGACGAAAGUCUGACCGAGCAACGCCGCGUGAGUGAAGAAGAUUUUCGGAUCGUAAAACUCUGUUGGUAGAGAAGAACGUUGGUGAGAGUGGAAAGCUCAUCAAGUGACGGUAACUACCCAGAAAGGGACGGCUAACUACGUG
rnacentral:rRNA from 1 species